rnacentral:rRNA from 1 species
UACGAAGGGUGCAAACGUUGCUCGGAAUUAUUGGGCGUAAAGCGCGCGCAGGCGGUCUUCCAAGUCAGUGGUGAAAGCCCGGAGCUCAACUCCGGAACUGCCAUUGAAACUGUUGGACUUGAGUACGAGAGAGGUGAGUGGAAUUCCCAGUGUAGAGGUGAAAUUCGUAGAUAUUGGGAAGAACACCGGUGGCGAAGGCGGCUCACCGGCUCGUAACUGACGCUCAGGCGCGACAGCGUGGGGAUCAAACAGG